rnacentral:lncRNA from 1 species
UCCAAAUCUACUAGACCUUGUUCCAGAUACCCUAACCGCUUGUUGGCGUUGACAGCCAUAUUCUUCCACUCGUCGAUAAAUUUCUGGUGAGCUUCUUGUAUAUCUCGAUGCUCAUUUUUGCAUUCUUGAAUUCUUUUAUUCAACUGAUUGUACUUGACUUGCGCUUCAACUUUUCUUUCAAUAAGCCUGUGACCUCUGAUGAACCCAGGAUGACCCAAACUAGUGUAAUUGUCUUCCAACCAACCUGAGUAGUACAGUACACACCCGGCGUGAUACUUGUCUGCCUCAUUAGAUUCUCUCCCCAAGACGAGUUUGUAAUGCCACAUGUGUU